rnacentral:pre_miRNA from 1 species
GAUGAGGAGGGAGUUCCUCAGCCCGGAUUGUGAGAGGGCACAGGCCAGGCUGAGGGAUCCCACCAGUGCACG